CCUUCUUACCUCUCGAAGAUGAGCCGCACCAUGAAGAUACAGAAGGCCAGGGGAAAAGCGAGAUAGAGGUCCUCAGCCUGCGGGAAGGUGGCCUCCUCCGUGUUCUUCAGGUCCGCCCAGGUGACAUUGUGCGGGAGCCAAAACCUCUCGUUCCAGAACCAGGCUAAGAUCCCUGCCAUCUUGCUUUGUCCACUCCUGUCCUGCGGCACCCGCAGCCCGCCAAGCUCUCCACCGCGCAGGGCGCCCGGGGAUGCGCGCCCGGCUGGCCCCGAGCCUG
rnacentral:lncRNA from 1 species